CCUACGGGUGGCUGCAGUGGGGAAUAUUGGACAAUGGGGGGAACCCUGAUCCAGCCAUGCCGCGUGUGUGAAGAAGGCCCUCGGGUUGUAAAGCACUUUCAGUGAGGAAGAACGCCUGGUGGUUAAUACCCAUCAGGAAAGACAUCACUCACAGAAGAAGCACCGGCCAACUCCGUGCCAGCAGCCGCGGUAAUACGGAGGGUGCGAGCGUUAAUCGGAAUUACUGGGCGUAAAGCGCGCGUAGGUGGCUUGAUAAGCCGGUUGUGAAAGCCCCGGGCUCAACCUGGGAACGGCAUCCGGAACUGUCAAGCUAGAGUGCAGGAGAGGAAGGUAGAAUUCCCGGUGUAGCGGUGAAAUGCGUAGAGAUCGGGAGGAAUACCAGUGGCGAAGGCGGCCUUCUGGACUGACACUGACACUGAGGUGCGAAAGCGUGGGUAGCAAACAGGAUUAGAUACCCUGGUAGUC
rnacentral:rRNA from 1 species